UUAGAAUUAAUUUGUGCAUAUAGUACUUAGACCCAUUAGCAAGAAUUGAACGGAUAAUUACAUUAAGCUAGAGUUGCUCACCAAAAUUUUAAGCAAACAUCUGAUCCAACCUGCAAACCAGCACCUCCACUGUUAGCCAGGAUUCAGAACAAGCUGCAGAGAUUAGGAUGUGACAUACCUACAAAGCUAGUUAGCUCUUCCUACCUAUGCCUGUUUCUGCAAGAUGAACUGGACUGCAUCUCACCUUCAUAUGCCAUGGUCAACAAUUUCAAGUGAAAACUGAGCUGACUUUGCCAAAUACUCAUUCAAGAAAAUAAAUAAUUCAUUUAGCAGGCAGCACUUGGGGAAAUGCAAGAAGCUUUUAGGAAACAACACCUACCUUCCAGCCCACGGCUUUCUUACAGGUGGCCGUAUACUGUGAUUGCUGCUGUUUGUAACAGUGUCUGAAUAAUUUGUUUGUAGCUUCCUCCUCAUUCUGAACAAUCCAAUCCUGCAAUUAAAAAACAGAGUUAAGACGAAAGGAGCAUUACACCAGUAAAGUACGUUAGUGACCAAUUCACGCGCCAGACCCAUAGAAUUCAGUUUUGUUUUUAAAAUAGAAACAAUCUUAAGGAUAUAAACUAGCUGUGCUAAUUAAACAUGCUGAAAAUUAGGCAUAACAUUUCUGACAAGGGCCUAGAAUAAAUGUCCUUGUUUUCAGUACUCUCUCCAGAUAUACUGCAUCUAUUAAGCAGGAUCACGGCUGUCCUGUUAAUUUCUGCCAUCUGUGGUCAGUUAAAGUUAAAUAAAUUGAUGUUACCAUUCUGAUAAUUUGAUCAUGUAAACCUUUUCUUUUGGUGCCUUAAGUACAAGGAACUACAGAAUGGUAUAUUUUUGAGGGGAGAAAAUUUCUGGCAUAAUUCCUUCACCAUACAAGAUCAGCUUUUUUGUUAGCUGCAUUUUUAAGUCAUCUACAUGGGAUCCAGUUAUUUAAGUUUGAUUCAUCUUCUUUUAACCUGCUGUUAGAAGGAAGAUGUUCGUGCCUUAGCUUUAAGCUCACUGAUCACAGGAGCAGCAAAUCGAUCCAUUUCUUGAAGAUGGUUGGAAAUACCAUCAAAGGGAAAGCAGCGUCUGCGCCCAUUUCAUUUCAGGUUCUGAACUAGUUCUAAACUGAGAGGUAGAAGAAAGAUGCAUCAAACAGCUUUGCCAGGAAGCAACUUAAUAGCAUGGGAAAAACACCUGGACAAAGAAUGAAAUGAAAAAUGAGGUGAUGGGAGAGAGACCAAAUGCUUAAUCACUACGUUGUUUGGUGCAUCUUGGUCAUGUCCUAGGCUGAUCUCUAUCUACUAAAAAUGGCGUUAGAGCUACUGACGCUUUAUUUGUAGGAAAUAAAUGUUUACAAGAGGAAAGAGAUUACUUAAUUUUCAAGACCAAGAGUUCUUGCAAAGGAAUUUGUUAAACAACCGUAAAGCCAAGGAGAAGUGCUUCACAGCAGCGGUGACGGAAGAGCUCUGACUGAGGAUUCACAGACCAUGUGCAAAACUAUUUCAGACAGUUCUUAAUCACUAGCUUGAAAACCAGCAGGCACUCUGAAUGCCAGGGGUAUCAAGGUGAAUGUCACAUACACUGCAAAGAGUAUUUUCUUUUUUAAUUGGCAAUGCUUGAAAAAGGUGGCAGAGGCUUUGCAGGCUAUUGGGAAGGUGCAGAAAUAUGGAGGUGAUACAGCACUAAUGCUGCACUUGUUGCAAAUGUACUCUCUCACAAAAUGUACUGAAAUACUGGAAAGUUUGCAGAACACUUCUCUUUAAGAGAGAGAAAAUAAAAGAACAAGUGAAACUUGGUCCAGAUUAGAUCACAAGUCUUUAAAACCAGAGAGGGAAGUGAAGAAGACAGCAAGAUGAAAGGGAAGAGGAGACAAAAGCAAUUUACAGCACUGUGAGUGCCAGACCCUCCGUGUGCACUCAUGCAGCUCCUCAGUUUGUGAGGACCCCAGAUGAGCCCCUCCUGAAAAGCAUUCCCUCUUCUAACAGGCGUGGGCAGUACAAAAGCAAUGAUCUGGACCAGCUGCAAACCUCAGCUCCUGAGCAUCUCAACACACCUACAUCAAGUAUGGCCACCUCUGUUCCAAAAUUGGUGAUCCUUAGAACACCCCGGGAGCAGGCUUAGCUGGAACACUAACACACAAACUUGCGUGCAGCAGUAGCAGGCAGUGAAGGUACCACCUCCUUCCACGGAGCACAGAGCCAGAGCCCUGCAGCCAGCCGCUCCCCUGGGAUGGCAAGAUGAUCCCAGUGGUCUUCUGCAGCCUUAAUGACUCUUUGAUUCUCUAUUUCUGAGGGAACUCAAGCAGCCCUUGAAAAGAGCAACUAGCUGUGAGGAGCAAAGAGGAAACUGCUGCAGAAAACAAAUGGCAGAUAGAGUUAAUGGAUUUUCUUACAAGCUGCACGUUUUCUUGACAAGGAACUGCGGAGACCAUUGCUGUAAAGACCUACAAAGGAUUCAGAAUACUGCUGGGUCAGCAAUUUUUGCCUUCGGUUUGUGUUGCAGAGCAGUAUUUGCAAGCUCAGGCAAAAGUCUAAUUGCAGUAUUACAGUACAGUGACAAACCUGAAUAAAAUUGCCUCUUUGAGAAAACUGAGGUAUGUGCAAACUGAAAUUAAAAAAAAAAAAAAAGAACACAUUACUUGUCUAAGACGCAUUCGUUCAUUCCUUCUCCUAAGUGGUUUAUCAAUGGGAGAUGCACCUGCACGAAAUAACUUCUAUUUCUACACAGGAAUAUAUUUAAAGGAAAAUCUGAAUGAAAACAACAGAGCAGGCUAAGGGAGUUUAUGAGUAGAGAUACUUAGGCAUAUAUCUUAAGGCUGUAAACAUGCUAUGUUCUUACUGCUGCUGACAGCGUGGUCUGUAAAUGAUGGCUGGCAAAUACGGCAGAUAAUCUCAUGGGACCAGAAGAAUGACUUGAAGCUCUAGAUGCUGAAGCAGAAUCCAGAACAGCCCUGCCACUGUAACUGAACAGUACCUUAAAUGACAAGGUCUGCUCCAAAAGUAAUGCCUCCUGUUUUAUUCUGCUGUCCCGUGACUUCAGAGGCGGAUGUUGGUGGUAAAGGUUGAACCUUCCCACCGAUAUCCCAUCAUAAUUUGCUGCUCUGUGACAGAUGGCAGCAGAGGGGAAGUCUGACAAAAUAGCAUCCAACAUGGAAGUACACAUGAAGCAGAAGUGUGUCAUGGAAUUCCUCCAUAUGGAAAAAAUGGCACCCACUGACGUUCAUCGACACUUGUUGAAUGCUUACAGAGACCACACAGCGGAUGGAUGCAAGCACAGUGAGGGUUGGGUGGUGUAUUUCAGCAGUGGCAACAGAAACAUGAAAGACAAGACACAUUCCAGACAGCCAUGCGCAUCUGUCACACCACAAAAUAAAGAGCAUCCUGAUCAGCUCAUCAGAGAGAAUCGGCUGAUUAUGAUCAGAGAAUUGUGCACAGAGGUGAAUAUCAGCCUCAAUGAAUUAGAAACAACAGUGGCAACAUUGAAAAAUCAUGACGUUUGCACUAGUUGGGUCCCACAAGUGGUCACAUAGGAACAGAAAUAACACUGUAUGCAUGUUUGUCAGGACCAAGCGAACCAAUACGAGGCUGAAGGUGACAGUUCCAUGGACCACAUCACUACUAGUGAUGAGACGUGGUGUCACCACCAAGAGCUAGAGUAAAAACAGCAGUCAAUGGAGAGGCAACAUGUGAGUUCCUCACUGAAGACAAAGUUCAAGAUGCAGCCCUCAGCAGGUAGAAGUGAUGUGCACUGUUUUUUUGGAUAGGAAAGGCAUGGUCCUUCUGGAUUUACUGGAACCCAGCAAGCCAUCAUCUCUUACCGCUACACUGCAACAGUGACUGAGCUGAAGGCUUGCACUUCCAGAGUUUCCUAUUUCUCUAUCAAAGAGUGUUG
rnacentral:lncRNA from 1 species